rnacentral:misc_RNA from 1 species
GUCACAUGGAACCAAGUACAAGGAUUAACAAGGGUUGCAUCCCAACUCUGUAGAACACUAUUAGGAUCAGCCAAAUUUGUCUUCAGAGCAUUCAAGGCAUCACCUUCAGCGUUACCGGCGACGGGUGACAAAUUGAAAAGCAGACCAAUUAAGCAGAGAAAUACCCAGAUCGCCAACACCGACUGAUCCAUGAUUCCCAGUCAUCCACACCUUUCUACAACUAAAAACCAAGAUUCUUCAUUGAAACCACCAAGCUAAGAAAAA